GACGAACGCUGGCGGCGUGCUUAACACUUGCAAGUCGGACGAAGUGGCGAACGGGUGAGUAAUACGGGGGUAACCUGCCCUCCUUUUUGGGAUAAGCCUUGGAAACGGGGUCUAAUACCGAAUAAAGGGGGAUGGGCUCGCGGCCUAUCAGCUUGUUGGUGGGGUGAUGGCCUACCAAGGCGGUGACGGGGAGCCGGCCUGAGAGGCUGACCGGCCCAGUUGUGACUGAGAUACGGCCCAGACUCCUACGGGAGGCAGCAGUGGAGAAUCUGCCGCAAUGGACGAAGGUCUGACGGAGCAACGCCGCGUGAGUGAUGACGGACUUAGGGUUGCAAAGCUCUAUCGGUAGGAAUGCGGUACCGGAAUGGACAGCCACGGCUAACUACGUGCCAGCAGCCGCGGUAAUAC
rnacentral:rRNA from 1 species